CUAAAACUCAUCUUCAAUCACACAUUCAAUUAGAAAAAAAUUCAUAUUUUUUUUAGCACAUUUUUUACGGAAAAGCACUAUUUCAAAAUCUAUUUUGUUGGGUAAUUGCCUCAAGCGUUAAAAGUUGGAGGACUUCUAUUGCAAAAAAUAAAAGGUAGUCAUUGUAUGGAAUACUUCUAAUUAAAGUUGAGAGCAGAAUUUGAUUUUCAAUUUACAGUCAAUUUUGGAGUCUUGCACAUGAAGGAAUCCUUAUUAAAUUAAAGGAGUCUUGUUUGAGUUUAAAUUAAACUCUUCUACUUGAUUAUUAAUCCUAUAAAUAGUUGAUGUAUUUAAUUAUUUUGGGUAUGGUCAAGGAGUUGAUCCGAGAGAAAAAUAUUGUGAGCCUAUUAUUUUGAGACUUUCGUACAUAGGGUAGAAAAGUAGAUGUGGUAAAAUUCGGAUUUAUUUUUUUCUUUGUAAUACUUGGAGAUUUG
rnacentral:lncRNA from 1 species